rnacentral:rRNA from 1 species
GGACCUUAGUAACGGCGAGUGAACAGGGAAAAGCCCAAAUUUGUAAUCUGGCACUUUUUACAAGUGUCCGAGUUGUAAUUUGUAGAGCUGUUAUCCGUACUGGACCAUGUACAAGUCUGUUGAAAAGCAGCAUCAUUGAAGGUGAAAAUCCUGUAGAUGAUAUGGACUACCAGUAUAUUUGUGAUACGGUUUCUAAGAGUCGAGUUGUUUGGGAAUGCAGCUCAAAGUGGGUGGUAAAUUCCAUCUAAGGCUAAAUAUAAGUGAGAGACCGAUAGCAAACAAGUACCGUGAGGGAAAGAUGAAAAGAACUUUGAAAAUAGAGUUAACAGUACGUGAAAUUGCUGAAAGGGAAACGUUUGAAGUUAGUUUUGUAUUCGUUGGAUCAGCUUCGCAAGGAGUGUAUUCUGAUGAUAAGCAAGUCAACAUCAGUCUAUGAGUGUUGGAUAAGGGUUUUGAGAAUGUAGCAAUUUAAUUGUGUUAUAGCUUGAGACUUGGAUACGAUGCUUUGGAUUGAGGAACGCGUAGUAAGCUUUGAGCGGAUUCGAAAGGAUCUCCUUACUAUGGAUGUUGGUGAAAUAACUUUAAGCGACCCGUCUUGA